rnacentral:lncRNA from 1 species
UUACACUUACAAUAACAUAUCCACAAUACUAAAUAGCUUGGUUUCAACCAUAAACAACAUGGAUAAAAAAUCUAUAUCGCAUGGAUCAAUAUAAAAAAGAAACAUGUUUUAAGCUUGAAACAACACGUCCAAAAACUCAACAACACCCUUUUAUUUCUUGUUUAACCAACAAUUAUACACUUUCCCUUUAUAUCCUCCACCAUAUAUCUAGACCUGUCAGUUGAACCUCAUCCUUA